AUGGACGCCGGUGCUCUAGCUGGGUGUUUGAGAGACAAGAGCGUCCUCAUCACAGGCUCAACUGGAUUCCUCGGAAAAUAUUACCACUUGCAGUAUAAACAUGCAGUAUUCGUCGAGAAGAUAUUGAGGGUUCAGCCCGCUGUCAAGAAGAUCUACCUGCUGCCCAUUAGCAAGUACAGCGCAGCUGCAGCUUUGCACCACACGAUCAAAGCAAUCGCUUCCUCACGUACGUUCUUAUCCCCUCUCCAUCCCAAGCCUCAAACACUACAACCGUCGACAGCCGACGACCGCCCACGGUGCCGACGGCGGGAUGUCCCGCCAAACUCCCUGGACCUCAACUCCUCAAUGCCCUUCUUCACAGAUCACAACCGUCUCUUUGAUUGGAGCUGCACGUCAACGGCCCCAACGUCGGGAUGCCUCUGA
rnacentral:rRNA from 1 species